UUUCAGCAAGAGAUUCCUGCAUGUCCUGUUCUCUCUAUUCACAUGUCAGCUGGCCACUGGAUGACUGUUCUUCUGUGUCCAGUGCAAUGCCAGAAAUGCUCCAGCAUGAUAGACAAGUUCAUUGAGAGGUACUAAGGAGAAGGGAUGGAGACAUCAUGCUGAUCAGCUCUGGUCUCAUCAAAGCCAGACAACCCACCCACACAAGAUGAACACCAAACCAGCACAUCAGCUAACACUGCCCAGUUGACUACAGUGCCUCAUCAUCAGAAGAAAACAUAUAGGCUAUUGCUAACACUUUAAAUAACACUGUAGGAUUGCAGACUAGUGCAUAAAGGCAAAAACUGAUCAGUAUUAUUUAUUGAGUCCAUAUACAGAAGAUAAUAAUUCCCUCUAUACUGCCUUAUAAGGCCAGAGGCUGUUGAGCCGACUAGUAUAGGCAAAUCAAACAAUAUUUAAGCUUAAACAUUUGUUGUAACUGACUGAAAAUGUUUCUUGAACAUUAUUGAUAAAUUAUAGAAACAUGUACAGAUAGCUUAAUAGGCUACUUAUUAAAAACAAACAAGAAAAGAAGAACAAGCUGAACACAAGGCUAUGAACAUAAAACUAUUAUGUUUUAAUUUUUUCAAAACUAUUAUUUAUCAUUUACUGUAAAAAAAAAAAGAAAAUAAAA